rnacentral:rRNA from 1 species
AUUGAACGCUGGCGGCAUGCCUUACACAUGCAAGUCGAACGGUAACAGGUCUUCGGAUGCUGACGAGUGGCGAACGGGUGAGUAAUACAUCGGAACGUGCCCAGACGUGGGGGAUAACGAGGCGAAAGCUUUGCUAAUACCGCAUACGAACUAAGGAUGAAAGCAGGGGACCGCAAGGCCUUGCGCGUUUGGAGCGGCCGAUGGCAGAUUAGGUAGUUGGUGGGAUAAAAGCUUACCAAGCCGACGAUCUGUAGCUGGUCUGAGAGGACGACCAGCCACACUGGCACUGAGACACGGCCCAGACUCCUACGGGAGGCAGCAGUGGGGAAUUUUGGGCAAUGGGCGAAAGCCUGAUCCAGCAAUGCCGCGUGCAGGAUGAAGGCCUUCGGGUUGUAAACUGCUUUUGUACGGAACGAAAAGGCUCUGGCUAAUACCUGGGGCACAUGACGGUACCGUAAGAAUAAGCACCGGCUAACUACGUG